AAACUCCAUUAAGCAAUUACCGAAGCCUAUGGUUUCUGAGGGCGUAGAAAAAAGAUAAACACGAUAUUGUUUAGGAUCAUUAAGUAAUUUUGAUAGAGCAGGGGGAGUUACAUGAAAAGAGAAGGAGAUAGUAUUACGAGUGCCGACACAAGCAGGUACAACGAAAGGUGCAUUGAAUUGUUCCAAAAUGUCAUAAAAGGGACUUUUUCGAAAUCGUAUUCGCGAAUGAACAACUGGGGCGAAAGGACGGCUGUAUGAUCUAUUUCCAGAAGCUGAACUAGGUGGAGCAAU